rnacentral:rRNA from 1 species
GGACGAACGCUGGCGGCGUGCCUAAUACAUGCAAGUCGAACGAAACUUUCUUACACCGAAUGCUUGCAUUCACCGUAAGAAGUUGAGUGGCGGACGGGUGAGUAACACGUGGGUAACCUGCCUAAAAGAAGGGGAUAACACUUGGAAACAGGUGCUAAUACCGUAUAUCUCUAAGGAUCGCAUGAUCCUUAGAUGAAAGAUGGUUCUGCUAUCGCUUUUAGAUGGACCCGCGGCGUAUUAACUAGUUGGUGGGGUAACGGCCUACCAAGGUGAUGAUACGUAGCCGAACUGAGAGGUUGAUCGGCCACAUUGGGACUGAGAUACGGCCCAAACUCCUACGGGAGGCAGCAGUAGGGAAUCUUCCACAAUGGACGCAAGUCUGAUGGAGCAACGCCGCGUGAGUGAAGAAGGUCUUCGGAUCGUAAAACUCUGUUGUUAGAGAAGAACACGAGUGAGAGUAACUGUUCAUUCGAUGACGGUAUCUAACCAGCAAGUCACGGCUAACUACGUGCCAGCAGCCGCGGUAAUACGUAGGUGGCAAGCGUUGUCCGGAUUUAUUGGGCGUAAAGGGAACGCAGGCGGUCUUUUAAGUCUGAUGUGAAAGCCUUCGGCUUAACCGGAGUAGUGCAUUGGAAACUGGAAGACUUGAGUGCAGAAGAGGAGAGUGGAACUCCAUGUGUAGCGGUGAAAUGCGUAGAUAUAUGGAAGAACACCAGUGGCGAAAGCGGCUCUCUGGUCUGUAACUG